rnacentral:tRNA from 1 species
CUACGGACUUAAAAUCCGUUGGCUUUUUAGACCGUGAGGGUUCAAGUCCCUCUACCCCCA